GCUUACGGCCAUACCACCCUGAACACGCCCGAUCUCGGAAGCUAAGCAGGGUCGGGCCUGGUUAGUACUUGGAUGGGAGACCGCCUGGGAAUACCAGGUGCUGUAAGUU
ensembl:rRNA 5S_rRNA 5S ribosomal RNA